rnacentral:rRNA from 1 species
AACGAACGCUGGCGGCAUGCCUAACACAUGCAAGUCGAACGAAGUCUUCGGACUUAGUGGCGCACGGGUGAGUAACACGUAGGUAACCUGCCCCCCAGUCUGGAACAACUAGAGGAAACUCUAGCUAAUGCCGGAUGAGACCACGAUCCCUUCGGGGGUUGCGGCCAAAGAUGGCCUCUACUUGUAAGCUAUCGCUGAGGGAUGGGCCUGCGGGCCAUUAGCUUGUUGGUGAGGUAACGGCUCACCAAGGCUGUGAUGGCUAGCUGGUCUGAGAGGAUGACCAGCCACACUGGGACUGAGACACGGCCCAGACUCCUACGGGAGGCAGCAGUGGGGAAUAUUGCGCAAUGGGCGAAAGCCUGACGCAGCGACGCCGCGUGGGUGAUGAAGGCCU